AAUGAACGCUGGCGGCGCGCUUAACACAUGCAAGUCGAACGAGAACGUUCCUUCGGGAACUAGUAGAGUGGCGAACGGGUGCAUAACGCGUAAGGAUCUUCCCUUUGGUGAAGGAUACCCUCGAGAAAUUGAGGUUAAUCCUGCAUAUUCUUGAAAAGGAAAGGCGGCCUCUUGCUGCCGCCAAAGGGAUGAACUUGCGUCCUAUUAGCUAGUUGGUGAGGUAAUGGCUCACCAAGGCGGUGAUGGGUAGCCGGCCUGAGAGGGUGUACGGCCACACUGGGACUGAGAUACGGCCCAGACUCCUACGGGAGGCAG
rnacentral:rRNA from 1 species